GCCCGCGUAGCUUAAGUAAAGCAAGACACUGAAGAUGUCUAGAUGAGCCCUAGAAAGCUCUACGAGCA
rnacentral:tRNA from 1 species